ACCUAAACCCGAUUGCGGUGAAAUCCUUUUUGUUGCAGCCAGGGCCUUGUGAAAGGGAACAAAAAGAUUAAACCAAAAGCGGGGCUGCCG
rnacentral:sRNA from 1 species